GCCAGCCGCCGCGGUAACACCGGCGGCCCGAGUGGUGAUCGUGAUUAUUGGGUCUAAAGGGUCCGUAGCCGGUUUGGUCAGUCCUCCGGGAAAUCUGAUAGCUCAACUAUUAGGCUUUCGGGGGAUACUGCCAGACUUGGAGCCGGGAGAGGUAAGAGGUACUACAGGGGUAGGAGUGAAAUCUUGUAAUCCCUGUGGGACCACCUGUGGCGAAGGCGUCUUACCAGAACGGGUUCGACGGUGAGGGACGAAAGCUGGGGGCACGAACCGGAUUAGAUACCCGGGUAGUCCCAGCCGUAAACGAUGCUCGCUAGGUGUCAGGCAUGGCGCGACCGUGUCUGGUGCCGCAGGGAAGCCGUGAAGCGAGCCACCUGGGAAGUACGGCCGCAAGGCUGAAACUUAAAGGAAUUAGCGGGGGAGCACAACAACGGGUGGAGCCCUGCGGUUUAAUUGGACUCUACGCCGGACAACUCACCGGGGGCGACAGCAAUAUGUAGGCCAAGCUGAAGACUUUGCCUGAAUCGCUGAGGAGUGGUGCAUGG
rnacentral:rRNA from 1 species